rnacentral:rRNA from 1 species
AAGGUAGCGUAAUCACUUGUUCUUUAAAUAAGGACUAGUAUGAACGGCUAAACGAGAAUCUAACUGUCUCCUGCAAGGAGCCAAUGAAAUUGAUCUUCCUGUGCAAAAGCAGGAAUACUACCACCAGACGAGAAGACCCUGUGAAACUUAAAUCAGCUAAGUCACACCAACAACACCAACUACAACCCACGACCACCAUCACCUGACCUAGCGCUUUCGGUUGGGGCGACCUUAAAACAAAGAAAAACUUUUAAGACAACCCAUAGCAAAGUUAGACCAUUAACUAAGAACCACACCUCAAAGUACUUAAAUGUAAUUAGAUCCGACAAUGUCGAUCCACGAACCAAGCUACUCCAGGGAUAACAGCGCAAUCCCCCUCAAGAGCCCCUAUCGACGGGGGGGUUU